UGUUGCUAACGCUGCUGUUGCUAACAUGCUGUUGUUGCUGUACUGCAAUUUUAGCCCAAAAACGUUCACUAUAGUAGAACAGUAGCAGCAGCCACUCAGGCCUGUGACUGUAAAAGUGCCUUUAAGUAAUGCUUCAUCCUCCUGCAGCUGUGAAAUAAACAGAGUGAGCAUGAGUGUAGUAGAAGAGUGAUGUCUGGCUGCGCUGGAGGAUUCCUGCAGUUUCUGGACUGAUUCAGCAGUAAACACCGCACAUUACACUUUACGUUAAUAGUUACAAUAUUUAUUAAUGAAUCCAACUGUUGAGUCACUAAAAGCCAGAUCUGUGAAUCGGCAAAACAACUUUACUAUAUUUGAAGCACAUAUCUACCAGCUUGUAUGUAGUUGGAAGAAGCAACAGGGCAUUUUUGUUCUUCGGUUUGGACAGGACAUCCUGACCUCUGUUUACAGCCUGGCACAUGUUUUACUCUUUAUGUCCUUAUGGGCUUUCUCUGGGUUCUCCUCCUACCUCCCAAAAACAUCCAGGUAGAUGGAUUGUCUAUGCUCAAUUGCUGUAAAUGGUUCACUGCCAUGGACUGGCAACCCAUACAGAGUGCAUUCCCACCUCCUACCCAGUGUUCCUCUAGCUUGAAUACAAUACCGAACAUUAUUAAAGCACUUAUUAUAGAAGAAUGAAUGAAGGAAUAUUUGAUUGUGACUCAUAAUCCUACAUCCUACACUUCCAGCCACACACAGAGCUACAAAAUUGAGUUAUUAUCGGACUCUAAGGACCUGAUUUGUAUGGUCUGGACUGGGUAAUAUUAUGUAGGUCCCCCUUGUGCUGCCAAAACAGCUCUGACCCGUCGACCCGUCUGACCCAUGGACUCCACAAGAAAGACCUCCGAAGGUAUGCUGUGGUAUCUGGGACCAAGACGUUAGCAACAGAUCCUUUAAUCUUUGUAAAUUGCGAGGUCGGGCCUCUGUGUCUCAGUUUGUCCAGCACAAUAUUAGCUGGCUAGCUCAUAUCAACAUGACCUGACCGGUUGUUUUUUUAAAAAAAACUUUUUUUUUUUUUUUAUGUACACAAACUCACAUUAGCUAAUGCACUGUCCCUGAUGGCUCACAAUCCAAUCCAUAUAAAUGUAAAUGAGUUCAGGACAAUGUUCCCAUAUUUAAAGAGCUUUUCACUGUGUAGUCAUGACAACAGUUGCUAUCCUCGUCUCGUUUAUAGCGUAAUUUAUUCAUUUUUGGUCUGGACAUGGCGUCAUGGGGAAUUUUCUAUUGUAGGAUAAUAUACUUGUUUUUCAUACAUUAUACAGCAUCCACUGAAUGGUGGUAAGUGGGCUCUCCUCACAGAUCUUCCUAGAGUGGGUGGUAGGAGUAAACAUGUGCUAUCUGUGUUUAACAGAAGAGGAGUCACUUAUCUGAUGUUUGUCAGCAGGUCAAAUCCUCACAACACAGCGGAUAGUCCAUUACGGACAUGGCACGCAGAGCAUCAAAGCAGUUUGAGGUUGAAUCUAAUGCAGAGCUAUUAAACAUUAGCAGUGAUGGACAGGACUGUGUCACACUAACGUAGGUGUUGCUCUGUGGGGUUGGAAACUGGAGCUACAUUCUUAAUAGCUGUUAAGUGAGAUGGGUCAUCCUUGCAAUGGAAAAACCCCGUUGAUGUCCACAUCUCAGCAUACCAGUAAAGCCUGUAAAUGAUUACAAGUUGGUAGUUCUCACCCUUUCUGGGGAAAAAAAAGAAAGUAUUUUUGCUCUUAGGGACUCUAUGACAUAUGUUAUAAUUGGAAGAGAAAAAUCAGGAAAUUAGAGAUGAAAAUAUUUUCUGUCUCAAUGACACAUUUUUCCUUAAAUAACUGUUUGCACACACAGUCUCUCUCUCACCCACACCUUUAUUUGGACAUGCAGUAUUUUUCCGAGGAAGCUGAUAUAUAAAUAAUAUAAAUAUGAAUGUCUUGUAAGUCCAUAUAAUGUACUUGGUCAAAACAUGUAGUAUAUUGCGUUAAUUACAUUAAAACAUCAGAGAUUGGCA